AUGCCUCCGAGCGCCGGCGAGGUGGCGCGGCCGCAGAGCCCACUCCGCGCCAUGAUGCCGCAGAGCCCGCUCCGGAUCAAGCAGGGCGGCAAGUUCUACGAGCGGCUGCUUACCAAGGAGAGCUCGGGGGCCAACCCGUCGUUCCGGUACUACGGGUCGGAGCCGGGCUCCGUGCCGUUCGUCUGGGAGUCGGAGCCCGGGACGCCCAGGGAUGCCUCGCGGAUGGUCGGCGGCGCGCUCCCGGCCAUCACCCCGCCCCCGUCCUACCUGCUCCGCCACCACGGCGGCGGCGUCGACGUGUCCCGUCGCGUCACGGCCACGGGCAGGAAGAAGCGGUACAGGCUCAAGCGGACGAUCAAGGUCGGCUUCAUCGCCGACAUGUUCCGCAGGCUCGCCGUCGGCAAGGCGUGCUGGUCGCGGCCGGGGCCGUCGCCGGCCCAGGUGUCGUCGUCCAGCCGGUGGCUCGUGGCGUCGGAGAAGCCGCCCGACCAGCACGGGCGCCACGACGAUCAGGCUCCCGCGGCGAAGAGCGGCGCCGUGGUGUGCUCCGGGGCGCGUCAGCCGAGCCCGUGCUGGAUGCUGCCGUUUCGCGGCGGCACGGGCAACCGGAACCGCGACUGCGACUAG
rnacentral:rRNA from 1 species